UACGUAGGGUGCAAGCGUUAAUCGGAAUUACUGGGCGUAAAGCGUGCGCAGGCGGCUUUGCAAGACAGAUGUGAAAUCCCCGAGCUCAACCUGGGAACUGCAUUUGUGACUGCAUGGCUAGAGUGCGGCAGAGGGGGAUGGAAUUCCGCGUGUAGCAGUGAAAUGCGUAGAUAUGCGGAGGAACACCGAUGGCGAAGGCAAUCCCCUGGGCCUGCACUGACGCUCAUGCACGAAAGCGUGGGGAGCAAACAGG
rnacentral:rRNA from 1 species